CCUACGGGAGGCAGCAGUGGGGAAUUUUGGACAAUGGGGGCAACCCUGAUCCAGCAAUGCCGCGUGAGUGAAGAAGGCCUUCGGGUUGUAAAGCUCUUUUGUCAGGGAAGAAACAGCAGCUCUAACACAGACUGCGAAUGACGGUACCUGAAGAAUAAGCACCGGCUAACUACGUGCCAGCAGCCGCGGUAAU
rnacentral:rRNA from 1 species